ensembl:lncRNA
AUUUUUUUAUUAAAAAUCAACAUAUUUAUACAUUUGUACAUUCCACAUACUGCUGUAUAUGUUCGCCAACAUAACCAUUAAGUCAGAAAGCAUUAACAGUACAAAAUUCCAUCUGAACAAAUUUACUGCAGGGGAACUUCAGUUUCAUAAUCAAUCAGACAUUACAGAAUGUCAUUAACUUCUUUUCCCUUUAAAAGUAGCAGCACAUUUAAUUAUCAGUGUUCACAAGGCAUAAGCCCCAAAGUGUUUUACAGCAAGAGAAAAAUUAAUUAGUAAAUACAGGCAAGAGGAGGAGAGCUCACAAUGAAAAUGUGUUAGCUGCUGCCUAUUAAAAACAGCAGGAUGUUAAUAAAACACUUAGAGCUGAAUAGAGACUGCAGCAAAUGGGGAAGAGCAAUAGAAUAAAAGGUUACUUCUUGAUACAAUACUAUAAAAUAAAGCAUUUUUUAAUGUCAUUCAGGAUAGGAGUCCUGCAAAGCACAGGCAUUGUUAUAAAAAUUCAGCAGUCAGGAUAAUGCUUGUGUGUUCAAACAUGUAAUGAAGGUCUGGAAGAACACAUGUAUACUCAAUCCUUACCACCACCUUUCCACAGCUGACAUCCGUAGGGUUUUGUGUAGUUGAUGUAAAUACAGUGACAUUUUAUUGAAGACAGAUGUGCUCAGGAGUCCAUCCAGAAGAUUUAAACCCAUGUCACUUAAGUGCUCAAAGAAAGACUGACAUUUAUCAGGUAACAAAGGUUGGGAAGUUUUUGGAGAUUGGAAGCAGGGAGAGCCAAGAGUGAAGUUCUCAUUGUAACCCAGACUCCAGUGCAGACCUGAGCCACCACAGUAUGGGCUGCCUGAAGAAGUCAGUUCAGAGGCUGCUGUGGUGCUCUCUGUGUAACAAACCCCAAUUGCUUAUUUUCUGCAGACUUUGAGUAUUCUGGGCAAUUUUUUCUCACUAGUAUUUUUUUCUUUUUUUGACUUGGAGAGUGGGAAAACUGCAAAUGAUGACAUAUACAGAGCACAGGUAAUUUUUAUGUAAGGAAGCGUGGAGAUAUGAGAAAGGGUUUAACAAGUGCUUUUUGUAUGGAUCAGCAACUCUAACGGAAGAUGCUAAAAAAGUCAGAGCUGCAGUAUUUCUGUAAUUAGAGGUUACAUGUUAAGCAAACAUGCCUUAAUAUCUGCAAAAGCAUCUGUGUGAGACUCAUCUCAUUUAUCAUGUCCCGAAUCACAGGCACACUGCCACAUUACAACAAAACAAACAAAAAAAACCCCUGCACUACUGUUUUGGUUUUCACACUUUUGAAGUUGGAGGAGCCUCAUUUGGAAAAAAAACCAAAACAAACUGUGAGAGAUGAAUUAC